rnacentral:rRNA from 1 species
UACGUAGGUGGCGAGCGUUGUCCGGAUUUACUGGGCGUAAAGAGCGCGCAGGCGGCUGGUCAAGUCCGAUGUGAAAGCUCCCGGCUUAACUGGGAAAUUGCAUCGGAAACUGAUCGGCUGGAAGGUGGGAGAGGGUAGCGGAAUUCCCGGUGUAGUGGUGAAAUGCGUAGAUAUCGGGAGGAAUACCAGUGGCGAAGGCGGCUUCCUGGCCUGUUCUUGACGCUGAGGCGCGAAAGCUGGGGGAGCAAACGGG